GCCUGGGUGGCUGAGUCAGUUAAGCGUCCGACUUUGGCUCGGGUCGUGAUCUCGCGGUUCGUGAGUUCGAGCCCCACGUCGGGCU
rnacentral:tRNA from 1 species